GGCAGAGGUGUUAACCUCCCUUCCAGGCUAAUGACAUUUGGUCCUCGGAUUGGACUAGAGAAGUGACCUGCUGUUGCUUUUAAAACAGUUGUUCAAGAUUUAAGGAGGCAGCUUUGGAAGGCUCCAGGCGGGAGUGGAUUUAGAGCGGCUGGAGCCUUUAUCGCCUUGAUCUAGGGAAGAUCCCUUCUUGUUUUUCGAGAUUUGCAUACUUGAAUAGCAAAUAUGUAUUUGAUUGUCUUUGAUACAUUUUGGAGCCAGACAGAGAGAGAGGUUAAAAGUAACCUCCUGACUUUCUUGCUGUUUAAGAAAUGCCUGUCUCUUGCUGGACAUGGUGGUGCAUGCCUAUAAUUCCAGCAGAAGGAUCAUUGCGAGUUCCAGCCUCAGCUACACAGGGCUCCCCUGCCUUGGGCACAACUUGCUAUCUUUAGGUACAUGGAAGACUUUCCCAGUGACUAUGAGUGGGAUUCGCGAGGCGCCGGACCCCUCAAACUGACUCAGCAGUUGCAGCUGAAUGCCGGCUAAUUCCUGUGGCAGGGUCCCCUGGGGCCUUCCUCACCGACACUCCGAGCCCUGCACCUCGUCGUCCCCAGUGCACCAGAGCCGGUAGGCGCCCAGCAGCACCGCCGCCAUCUGUGUCACCAGCGCCACCAGCGUGGAGUUCAACAGCAUCGCCCAGUCUGAGUCCACCGCUGCUCCCUCAGCCUGCUCCUGUCGUCAUUGUGGUGACCACUCUCCAGGAUGCCUCGCUUCAAGUCCCCAGGCCCCCACGCCCCCACCAUAACUGCCCAUCAGCGUCUCCCUCCCCUAUUUUCUGCCUUUUAAAUGUAUCCUGGUAUACUUUCCUCAUGGCAUGAGUCAUUUUUGAAAUAAUUAAAGUGUGUGAACUUACAUAAAGCCAACACGAAGAUAAAAAAAAAAAGUCACAAUCAGCCAUGCUUGGUACGCGGCUAGAUCUUAAAUUUGAGCCCAUGACCAAGGUACAGCCCAGUGGCACUGUGCCUGCCUGGCAAAGUUAAGGUCCUGAGUUUGAUUCCUGGUACCAAAAAUAAAUAAAUAAUUUUUAAAAAUUUUUUAAAAAGCUUAAAUGAGCCCAGCCUGGUUCUGAGAUCCUGUCUCAAAAAAUACCCAGUAAUAAUUUUCCUCGACUUUAUUCACUUUCGUGGUACUGUGGCUUGAACCCAGGGCCUUCACACUGAGCUACACCUCCAGCCUUUUUAAAAUUUUUUUGAGACAGAUUCUCACUAGGUUGAUAAAUUUGACCAAGUUGGUAAUUUGUACUCUUCCUACCUCAGCCUCCCUGAGUGCUAUGAUUACAGAUGUGCAAUCAUCACACCUGGCUAUUUUUAAAUUUAAUUUUUCUUGUUGCAAUUAGUGCCUAUGAACUUCACAAAACAUUGGGUUUCAUUUCAUACAUUUCGACUAAGUCCCUCUCCCCUGCCCUCUUCCUUGGGAGCUCAGUCUGGACCGUGGAUACUCCUGUGGCACAAGUACUGAGGCUGGGUUACUCCUGAGGCUACAGAAGGGAGCGGGGCAUGAAGAGUAGGUGGUGGGACCUCAAAGUACAGAGGAGGAGAGUAAUGAGAUUGGGAGAAGUCUGCUGGGAUGAAGUGAGGAUCCUAGCUCUUUUGUUCACAUUACUCAGCUAUUUCAUAAAAACAAUGGCGUGCAGUUACAACGUGCCAUGCUUUGCAUAAUCACUUUAUGUGAAUGUUCCAGUAUAGUUGUCACAACAACCCUAACUGGCAUCACUCACUUUGUGGGCAGAACUGCAGUGCUCGGGGAUUACUGGAAGGUGCCCAGCUGAGAAGGGUGGGAGCCAGGGCAACGCUGGAGGUCCACAGUCUGGUUCUGACCUCUGAGCCUGCUGUCUGCCUCCUUUUCCCCUUCUCCUGCUCUUCCAAUCCUUCUUUCUUCUUGGUGGCACCAGGUGUUGCCUUACGGCCUUGGCUAGGCAAGAGCUCUGGUGCUGCCUUGAUCUCAAACCCAUUCUGCCCUUCUUACCCCCUUAAGGGUUUCUGUUGCUCUGUGAACAACUGGUCCCCACUGUCCACCAGCACUGAUGGCCCAGAACACGCUGGUCACCUGCCUGGACCAUGGGCACUUUAAACUGUCUUCUUCUCCCUGUCCCCAGGCAGGGUCAGUAAAGAGAGGACACAGAAGCCUCAGGAGGGUAAGUAGAGUCACUGCCCCGGUGUCCAAGGUGAGGAUCCUGUUCUGACUGGCCAGGGGGUCUUUGGAGAUUCCUGGGAGGCAGAUUUUGGUUGUCACCAUGGGCAGGAAUCUGAUGCUGGGGAAUAGCCCUACAUCACGACUUGUAUCAUCCAUGGAAACUGUUUAAGAAUGGUUUAAAAAAGAGCUAAGCAUGGUGGUGCAUGUCUGUGAUACCAGUACUCGGAAGGCUGAGACAGGAGGACCCCCAGGUUGAGGCCAGCCUGGACAACUUAGCAAAUUCAUUGUCAGUGUGGAGUAUAUAGUGAGACAAAGGAGGAAGGGAGACAGGCGGAAGGAGGAAGAGGCAGCAGGAGGGGAGAAGGGAAGGGAGGGAGACAAGAAAAGGCCUUGCCUCUUGGUAAGAGUCGCGGCAAGGGCCAGAAGAACCAGCACUCCCGAUCUGGACAUGGUGGGACUCAGGCAGCUUAUUCACCUGCCCUCUUGGUAAGUGCCCCAGCGAGGGCCUGGAGGAGAACCAUUACCUGUGAGCCUACUGCCACAUGGGCUGAAAAUCAAGCACCCUUCCCCCGCCUGCUCCCUCCCCACAAAGCUACUGGGGAUAGAUGUCUCAGCAUCUCUUGGGAGGAUGACCAUAUGCAGUAUAGCAAAUAUGGGGGAUUUCCUUCUAUCUUCUGUUUGAAGGCAAAGGUUGUUUUUACUGUUUUGUUUCUUUAGCUCUAUUCAGUAUUCUCAAUUGGUUUUAUAAUGUUCUAUUUUUGGUUUGAUUUUGCUAUACCUAAUUGACUGGACAACUAUUGUUAAGUUAAAGAGAUAUACCAUAGUACCUAUUACUACUAUCCAGUAUCCUACUGUGAAAUCCUGUACCAAUUUCACUGCAUUGUCUCAAUUGGCUUUGUUCUGUCUUGUCCUGUUGCAUUUUUACUACUUUCAAAAUAAAAAAAGGUCUCCCCAAAUGUUUAUUUUUAUUUUUGUCUUUUUCUUUUUUAUCGGUACCGGGGAUCGAACUCAUGACUGCCUGCUUGCAAGGUAGGCGCUUAUCCUGCUCAGCUAAAUCCCCAGCCCCUAUGUUUAUUAAAAGAUACCAUUGGCCUGGGGCUGGGGAUUUAGCUCAGCGGCAUAAGCGCCUGCCUUGCAAGCAGGCAGUCGUGAGUUCGAUCCCUGGUACCGGUAAAAACGAAAAAGACAAAAAAAAAAAAAAAAAAGAUACCAUUGGCCAUCAUAACUUUUUGAUAGCCUAUACUGUUUCCCAGGUGCAGUGUAUACUUUUAUCUUUGCUCUCAUCCUCCUUUUCUAUUUAUUGGUCCAAGCUCACUGCAGAGCCAGUUUCCCUCCCACUCUUCAUUUUUGCUUUCUUAAAUGUACCUUGCCACUGCUACAAAUUAAUUAAUUAAUUAAUUAAUUAAUGCAUUGGAGCCAGGCAUGGUGGUGCACACCUGUUAUUCUGGCACUUGGGAGGCUGAGGCAGGCCAGCCUAGACUACAAAGUGAGUUUAAGGCUAGCCUGAACUGCAUAGUGAAACCCUGUCAGAAAAACAAAUGAGAGAGAGAGAGAGAGAGAGAGAGAGAGAGAGAGAGAGAGAGAGAGAGAGAGAGAGAAGAGGAGCAGGGCAGAUAUAAAUUCUGCCAUCUUAGCCUCAAUGAGUCUAAAGGACAGUAGCUGCACCUUCCUAUGCUUAGGUCUCCUCUAAGGCCUCAAUCAUGUAGUGGGGAGAGUGUGGAAGACACUCCCAAUCCUUUGGUUUUUGGUUGACCCUAUGUUCAGUAAUCCAGGCUGGUCUUAAACUCACUGUGUAGCUCAGGCUGGGCUGGGCUGACGGUUUUCCUGCCUUACCUCUGUGUUGCUGAGAUUACAGGUGUGCACCACCUUGAAGCUUCCAUCCUCUCAUUACCUAUUCAGGGAUGAAGUGUGAGGCUAGGGCCCGUGUACACAGUAUCUUCCCAGAAAGCAACAGUCCCUCCGUGGCUGGACCCCUCCCAAGGAAAUGUGGUGGGAGCCUUCUCAGAACAAAAAAAGAUGACAUGGGCACCACUCUGUAACAUACGCUGUACCCAAUCAGGUUGUUGUCAGUGUGUUAUUAUUGGAGGGAGACAAAGACACAAGAAUUGCAUAAAAAGUGAAACCCUGCCAUGCUUGGGGUUUUGCCUUUGGAUGUGAGUCCACUGAGUCAAUCAUAGUGCAAAUACUCUUCUUCCUGCACAGGGUCUCAGUUUCCUGUCUCUCUAUGUGGUAAUAUUAUAAACCUUAGUAUGGGGAGGAUUCGCUCCAGGUCCCCCACUCAACAGUUAUCAAAAUCCUCUGAUGCUCAAGUCUGCUAUACAUAUAAGUUCAAGUAUUUGCAUAUAACUGCUGCAUUACCACCUGUCCUUCUGCCCUUCUUUCUGACUAUACAAUUCAGUCUGACCUUGAACUUUUCAUGUAGUCCAGGCUGGCCUGUAACUCAAGGUGAUCCUCCUGAGUGCUGGGAUCACAGGCAUAUGCCACUUCACCAGACUCUAUUUAUAUGUUUUUGUUGUUAUUUUGGGACAGGGUCUCACUAGAUAGUUCAAAGUCACUUUUUUUUGGUACCAGGAAUUGAACUCAGGACUGAGCUCUAUCCCUGGCAUCACUAUGUAGUUCAAGUUGGUCUUGAACUCACUAUAUAGCUCAGGCUGGCCUCAAAGUUGCUGCAUUCCUCCUGCUUAGUUCUCCUGAGUACUGGCUGAAUAUUUUCAAUUCUUUCUAGAUUAUGGUUAAUACCUAAUGCCAUAAAAAAAUACCUAAUGCCAUGUAAAUGGCAUAUCAAUAGUUGUUAUAAUUAUUGUGUAGGGGAUGACAAGAAAAAAAUCUUAAAUUUAUAGCAAGCAGUUUAAUUUUCAAAUACUGGUUGGUUGAGGCCACAGAUAUACAAGGCUGACUACAAAGCAAAAUAAGCUCAAGCUAUACCCAGGAAGCAGCAACUGUGGCACCAGUUGCUGUGGUUUACUGGAUGUCCCCUGGCUCCUGGAGAUUCCUGGUGAUCACUUGUUAGUAAAAAUGGAAUCAGAACUUCUGCCUACUGACCCCUGUAAUCCCAGCACUCAGGAGGCUGAGGCAGGAGGAUUGCUGUAAGUUUUCAGCAAGUCUGGGCUACAUAGUGAGGUCUUGGACAGUCUGGGCUACAAAUCGAGACCCUGCCUCAAAAAAACCACUUCUGUCCAUUGGACUGGCCUGCUCCUGCUGAGAACAUCCAGAAAAGCUGAGUAUGGUUUCUGAAAUUUUAUUUGUCCCGUUUUGUGAGACAGGGUGUUGCUAUGUAAUUCAGGCUGGCCUCAAACUCUUGGUGAUCUUCCUGCCUCAGCCUCUUGAGUGCUGGAAUUACACAAGAGUGCUACCAUACCCAGUUCUCUGUUGCUGUUUUUAAAUUAUCUGAAGGCCCAGGACAACAAAGUACCCUUGAAAUCAUCCCCUCACUAAGGACUGACUGCUGAAUAUAGAAAGCCAAGAGCUGAUGGGGACACAGAAAACAAUAUAAACCAAUAGACCAGGCACAGUGGCAUAUACCUGUAUCCCAGCACUUGAGAGGCACAUGCAAGAGAACUGCUGGAAGUUUGAGGCCAGUCUGGGAUACAUAGUGAUUUUGUUUUUUUUGUUUUGGUACCACGGAUCAGAUCCAGAGCCUUGUGCUUGCCAGGCAAGUGCUGCACUGACCAGCUACCUCCUUGGCCCUACAUAGUGUGUUCAAGGUCAGCCUGCAUACAUAGCAUGACACUGGUCUAGUUUUGACUUUUCUUUUUUUAGGGUUCUGAAGGUUGAACAUGUUAGGUAAAGGCAAACAAUUCCACCAUCUCACCAGCCCUUUUUUAUUUAGAGGAAAAAAAAACCCUUGAAAAGGUAUGCUACUUAGAAAUAAACAGAGGAGACCUGGGUGUGGUGGUGCACACCUGUAAUCCCAGUACUCCAGAGGCUAAGGAAAGAGGAUCACCAGUUCAAGGCCAGCAUGCAUACACAGUGAGUACAGUCAGCCUAAACCACACACAAAGACCUUGUCUCAAGACCCUUCUUCUCCCAAAAAAACAAAUAGGCAUAGGAAAUAUACUACUUUCAAGUGAGAGAAUCGACUCCCCGUUUGUAAUGUAAUCCCCCCCCCCCAGCUAUAGAACAGAGCAGUAAGGAAUGUGUCACUCCCUAAAUCCUCCUUGAGAUAUCGGGGCAGGACAGGAAGGAAUGCAUCUGCUAGUCAUUAACCACAAGAUGAUCUGUCCUCUGUAAAGAUAAAGAUAAGUAAAGGAAUGUGCUAGAUUAGACCAGGACUCUCGGUCUCCAUGGUUACUCAGCCCCAGAUCCCUCGAAUCAGCAUCUGCCAAGUCCUGCGCCGUUCAAAAUUAACCAAUGCGAUCUGCUUCUGUAAACCCGCUUGUGCCCUUAAAAACCCUGCACAAAUUCCCCUCGUGGCCCUCCGCACUCGUUUGCCUGGAGGACCCCAUGCGCAUGGAAAUAAACUUUUUUCCCUCACCAA